GACUCUUUCGUCUAGUGGUUAGGACACCACCCUUUCACGGUGGUAACACGGGUUCAAAUCCCGUAAGAGUCACCA
rnacentral:tRNA from 2 species